rnacentral:rRNA from 1 species
ACUCCUACGGGAGGCAGCAGUCGGGAAUUUUGGGCAAUGGGCGAAAGCCUGACGCAGCCAUGCCGCGUGAAUGAUGAAGGUCUUAGGAUUGUAAAAUUCUUUCACCGGGGAAGAUAAUGACGGUACCCGGAGAAGAAGCCCCGGCUAACUUCGUGCCAGCAGCCGCGGUAAUACAGAGGGUGCGAGCGUUGUCCGGAAUCACUGGGCGUAAAGGGCGCGUAGGUGGCCUGGUAAGUCGGGUGUGAAAGCCCCGGGCUCAACCUGGGAAUUGCAUUCGAGACUGAAUAGCUAGGGUGCGGAAGAGGGAAGCGGAAUUUCCGGUGUAGCGGUGAAAUGCGUAGAUAUCAGGAGGAACACCGGUGGUGUAGACGGCUUUCUGGACCGUAACUGACGCUGAGACACGAAAGCGUGGGUAGCAAACAGGAUUAGAUACCCUGGUAGUCCACGCCCUAAACGAUGCAUACUUGGUGUGAGCGAUUCAUUUCGUUCGUGCCGGAGCUAACGCGUUAAGUAUGCCGCCUGGGGAGUACGGUCGCAAGGCUGAAACUUAAAGGAAUUGACG